rnacentral:ncRNA from 1 species
GGCCCAAGUCCCCUGGAAGGGGGCGCCUGAGAGGGUGACAGCCCCGUCGGGCCUGGACCCUGCCGCACCACGAGGCGUUGUCGGGGAGUCGGGUUGUUUGGGAAUGCAACCCUAAUCGGGUGGUAAAUUCCGUCCAAGGCUAAAUAUGGGCGAGAGACCGAUAGCGAACAAGUACCACGAGGGAAAGAUGAAAAGGACUUUGAAAAUAGAGUUAAAGAGUGCUUGAAAUUACCGGGAGGGAAGCGGAUGGAGGCCGACGAUGCGUCUCGGUCGGAUGCGGAACAGCUCAAGAUGGUCCGCUGCUCGACUCGAGGUGCGAACCAGCACAGGCCGUUGCAUCAGCACAAGCACGGGUGGAGUACUGCCUGUUGGAGUAAUGCCUGUUGGAGUACUGUCGAAGCUGGGCCGCGGGCGAAACCGCCCAAGUGCGGGGGAAAUUCAGGGUUUCCGAAGCUGGGCCGCGGGUGAAACCGCCCAAGUGCGGGGGAAAUUCGGGGUUUCCGAAGCUGGGCCGCGGGCGAAACCGCCCAAGUGCGGGGGAA